CUGCAGCAUAAGUGGAGGUAUUUUUGCCUUGAUCAGCUGAAGUGGAGUUUGAAUUUGAAGCCAAAUGAGCGGACAGCAUUGUCAUCAAUUGCUGGUAUUGGCUGGAGUUCAAAUUCUGCACGAAAUCCCCAAGUCCAGGUUGCUGAUCCAUUGAUUUCUCUUCAGUCUGUGGAUGAAAAGAAGUAGAAAUUUGAUUGACAAAAUUAGAAUUAGAGAAAUUUUGGAGAUUAUCACGUGGCCUUGACUUUUAACCCGGUGGAUAACCAUGCAUUUUGUAACACUUGUAAACAGAAUGUCCAUGGUAUUUGCAGUGUGUACAAAAUGGCCUUUCUUUAUUCUUGAUACCAAUCCUUAAAUUCUCCAUGUGAGGACCAGAUUUAAUUGUUCCUUUGCCAUUCUCAGAUCUGAAUACAAAGGCAAUUCCUUCAUUUGAAUUAGCCCCAACAGAUUGUGUGCUGUGCUUUCUCUGAUUCUCCUCUUGUGAGAUUAAUGCACACACUUUAUUAAUAGGUGCAUAGGAUGAAUCAUUCAAUCCCAUGAGGAAUGACAUGGUGUAUUCCAUCUGGUAAUGUAUAUUCAGCUCCUUAACACCAUUACAGGUACAUUUUCCACAGUUGCAGUUUGGCCGAAAAUUGCUCAAUUCUUCCCACACAGCUUUGAAUUUGGUGAAAUACACACUCACGGUGCUCUGAUCUUGAAUGAGGUCAUUAGUUCCCUUCUCAGUUGGAAGAUCUGAGGUCCAUUGCUUUGUCGAAACCUCUCCUUGAGAUCAUUCCAGAUCUCAUGGGCUGUAGAAACAUAGAUUACACUGGCCAAAAUAUCCUUUGAAACAGAGUUGAGAAUCCAAGAAGUCACCAUGUUAUUAUUUCGAAUCCAUGAAUUAACGAGAUCUGGAUCUAUAGCAUCCAGUUUCCCCAUGGAUCCAUUAAUGAAUCCGAUUUUGUUCUUGACUGAAAGGGCAAUAAUCAUUACACGGCUCCAAGAGGUGUAGUUUUCUCCCGUGAGCUGUUGAGACACUAACACCAAUCCAGGAUUGUUAGAAUGGUAGGGAUGGAAGGUUCAUAAAUGGCGGACUUGCUCAUGGAUGGCCUUUAAUCAGGACAGUUUCCAGAAGCAGUUGAUUCCAUUGUCGAGCGGAAUUACAAAUGAUAAAC
rnacentral:lncRNA from 1 species